rnacentral:rRNA from 1 species
UACGUAGGGUGCGAGCGUUGUCCGGAUUUAUUGGGCGUAAAGAGCGUGUAGGCGGCCUGGUAGGUCAGCUGUGAAAACUCGAGGCUCAACCUCGAGACGUCGGUUGAAACCACUUGGCUAGAGUCCGGAAGAGGAGAGCGGAAUUCCCGGUGUAGCGGUGAAAUGCGCAGAUAUCGGGAAGAACACCCGUGGCGAAGGCGGCUCUCUGGGACGGUACUGACGCUGAGACGCGAAAGCGUGGGGAGCGAACAGG